rnacentral:rRNA from 1 species
GACGAACGCUGGCGGCGUGCUUAACACAUGCAAGUCGAACGCAGUGGGGACGGGUGAGUAACACGUGGGUAACCUCCCAUCAGAGGGGAUAACACUUGGAAACAGGUGCUAAACCGAUACUGAAGGUUGGACCCGCGGUGCAUUAACUAGUUGGUGAGGUAACGGCUCACAAAGGCCAAGAUCCAUAGCCGCCCUGGGAAGGAUAUCUGCCACGACGGAACGGAGGCACGGCCCAGACUCCUACGGGAGUCAGCCGUAGGUCAUCUUCGGCAAUGGACUGAAGACUAACCGAGCAACGGCGCGUGAGUGAAGAAGGUAUUCGGAGCGUAGGACUCUGGUGUUAGGGUAGCGGUAUCUAACCAGAAAGCCACGGCUAACUACGUGCCAGCCGCCGCGGUAAUAC